UACAUAGGUGGCAAGCGUUGUCCGGAUUUACUGGGUGUAAAGGGCGUGCAGCCGGAGAGACAAGUCAGAUGUGAAAUCCACGGGCUCAACCCGUGAACUGCAUUUGAAACUGUUUCCCUUGAGUGUCGGAGAGGUAAUCGGAAUUCCUUGUGUAGCGGUGAAAUGCGUAGAUAUAAGGAAGAACACCAGUGGCGAAGGCGGAUUACUGGACGAUAACUGACGGUGAGGCGCGAAAGCGUGGGGAGCAAACAGG
rnacentral:rRNA from 1 species